rnacentral:rRNA from 1 species
GGGAGCAUGAGGCUAACAUGCAGUGAGGGGUAACGGGGAUUGCUUGCAAUCCGCCGACGACCGGCGCACGGGUGCGGAACGCGUAUGGAACCUGCCCCUGUCAGGGGAAUAGCCCAGAGAAAUUUGGAUUAAUGCCCCAUGGUACCUUUAGGACACAUGUUCUAUAGGUUAAAGAUUUAUCGGACAGGGAUGGCCAUGCGUACCAUUAGUUAGUUGGUGAGGUAACGGCUCACCAAGGCCACGAUGGUUAGGGGCCCUGAGAGGGGGAUCCCCCACACUGGUACUGAGACACGGACCAAACUCCUACGGGAGGCAGCAGUGAGGAAUAUUGGACAAUGGGCGGGAGCCUGAUCCAGCCAUGCCGCGUGCAGGAUGACGGCCCUAUGGGUUGUAAACUGCUUUUGUACGGGAAGAAACCUGUCCACGUGUGGACAGCUGACGGUACCGUAAGAAUAAGGACCGGCUAACUCCGUGCCAGCAGCCGCGGUAAUACGGAGGGUCUGAGCGUUAUCCGGAAUCAUUGGGUUUAAAGGGUCCGUAGGCGGGCCUAUAAGUCAGGGGUGAAAGGCCACGGCUCAACCGUGGGACUGCCCUUGAUACUGUAGGUCUUGAGUUAUGGUGGAGUUGCCGGAACAUGUGGUGUAGCGGUGAAAUGCAUAGAUAUCACAUAGAACACCGAUCGCGAAGGCAGGUGACUAACCAUAUACUGACGCUGAUGGACAAAAGCGUGUGGAGCGAACGGGAUUAGAUACCCCGGUAGUCCACGCCGUAAACGAUGGAUACUAGCUGUCGGGACUUCGGUCUCGGCGGCCAAGCGAAAGUGAUAAGUAUCCCACCUGGGGAGUACGUU